CGAAGGGGCGUAGCGUUGUUCGGAUUUACUUGGGCGUAAAGACGCACGUAGGCGGCUUGUUAAGUCAGGGGUGGAAAUACCCGGACGCUCAACUCCGGAACUGCCUUUGAUACUGGCAAGCUCGAGUGUGGAAGAGGUUGGUGGAACUGCGAGUGUAGAGGUGAAAUUCGUAGAUAUUCGCAAGAACACCAGUGGCGAAGGCGGCCAACUGGUCCAUUACUGACGCUGAGGUGCGAAAGCGUGGGGAGCAAACAGGAUU
rnacentral:rRNA from 1 species